rnacentral:rRNA from 1 species
UCCACGCCGUAAACGAUGUCAACUAGCCGUUGGGCCUAUAUACAGGUUUAGUGGCGGAGCUAACGUAUUAAGUUGACCGCCUGGGAGUACGGCCGCAAGGUUAAAACUCAAAUGAAUUGACGGGGCCCGACACAAGCGGUGGAGCAUGUGGUUUAAUUCGAUGCUAACGCGAAGAACCUUACCUACCCUUAGACAUCCAGAGAAUC